rnacentral:rRNA from 1 species
CUACAGGCUUAACACAUGCAAGUCGAGGGGAAACGACAUCGAAAGCUUGCUUUUGAUGGGCGUCGACCGGCGCACGGGUGAGUAACGCGUAUCCAACCUGCCCACCACUUGGGGAUAACCUUGCGAAAGUAAGACUAAUACCCAAUGACGUCUCUAGAAGACAUCUGAAAGAGAUUAAAGAUUUAUCGGUGAUGGAUGGGGAUGCGUCUGAUUAGCUUGUUGGCGGGGUAACGGCCCACCAAGGCAACGAUCAGUAGGGGUUCUGAGAGGAAGGUCCCCCACAUUGGAACUGAGACACGGUCCAAACUCCUACGGGAGGCAGCAGUGAGGAAUAUUGGUCAAUGGACGAGAGUCUGAACCAGCCAAGUAGCGUGCAGGAAGACGGCCCUAUGGGUUGUAAACUGCUUUUAUAAGGGAAUAAAGUGAGUCUCGUGAGACUUUUUGCAUGUACCUUAUGAAUAAGGACCGGCUAAUUCCGUGCCAGCAGCCGCGGUAAUACGGAAGGUCCGGGCGUUAUCCGGAUUUAUUGGGUUUAAAGGGAGCGUAGGCCGGAGAUUAAGCGUGUUGUGAAAUGUAGAUGCUCAACAUCUGAACUGCAGCGCGAACUGGUUUCCUUGAGUACGCACAAAGUGGGCGGAAUUCGUGGUGUAGCGGUGAAAUGCUUAGAUAUCACGAAGAACUCCGAUUGCGAAGGCAGCUCACUGGAGCGCAACUGACGCUGAAGCUCGAAAGUGCGGGUAUCGAACAGGAUUAGAUACCCUGGUAGUCCGCACGGUAAACGAUAAAUGCCCGCUGUUGGUCUGAAUAGGUCAGCGGCCAAGCGAAAGCAUAA